AAACUUUCAACAACGGAUCU
rnacentral:rRNA from 1 species